rnacentral:hammerhead_ribozyme from 1 species
AAGCGAAACGCCCUACAGUUUAGGGCGUCUGCCAGUGGUGGUUCACUGGCACUGAUGAGCAGCCAAGA